UGUUACGUUAACAAUUGAACUGUAUCAAGCUGAGUUUUGUGAUAUUGAUCUCUGGUGCAGCGGUGCUGAUGAUGCUAGGCGCAUGUCUUGAUCCUCCCAAUUACUUUACACUUCACAGUUUUUUUUUUACGAUUUUGGAUCAUUUAUUCAGAGCUUCACAUAUUGGAUGCUAUAGUGCACUUUAUCUGGUUCUGUUUGGUUUUGUUUUGAAGGAUUCACAUGUUUCAGUAUGAAGGUUGUAUGUUCCCAGAUAUGCCUUCUGUUAAUUCUUGAAAACUACUUUCUCUUGAUCUCAAAUUCCAUAAUCUAAUAUGAAUCAUGAUCUAUGGAGCCUUUACGUUGCAUAUUGUUUACCAAGCUCAAUCUCUAUUCUAUGUGAUGCCAAUACUGCCUCAGGUAGCAAUAGCAUUAGAUGAUCUUUUUUCUCCCUUGACCUGUAUUCUAUCAUGUUGUUACAAAUGCUUCUGCAUAGGUGUUUUUGGCACGCGCACACUUCUCCUUGAUGUGCUAUGCUUUGAAUUUUUAGCCUUUUGUGUGCUUCUGCCUUCAUAGAGAAGGAAGUAUGCAAUUUGGUGAUAUUGAAGUUGAAGCCCCCAUGCAUACAGAGCCUAAGAAAUGGCUUUAUGCCCUUAUAUCUUUUUAUUUGGAAAAGUUUUGGCUGGGUUGUUCAUGUCCUUGGAUUGAAGUGAUUUAUAACAUGGGAGUUAGGAAAAACAAAAAUUGGCACAAAUGGGAAAAUAGAUGAUCAACUUGAGACAGGUUCUCAGGAAGUUAAUGCUACUGAACAAUCCAACAGGGCUUCCAAAGUGGCAGAAGCAAUAAUUGUAAAACUUAGAGAUGCACUGGAAAAGAAAUCAAAUGAAUACAACGAGACUGAAUCAAAGCUUAACUCUGCUUUGGAGGAAGUUAAAUUUAGGGUUCAGAAAAGAACUUGAAGUUAGUUUGAAGCUCUUGGAUGAAUCUCAGCUCUGCCAAUGAGAGCGAGGAUGACAUUGGUACAGAACUUCAUGUCUGUAUUCGGGUUCUUGCUGACAAAGUGGGUUACAUUUCUCGGCAACGUUCUGAGUUUCAAGAGCCUGGUGCAAGAGCCAAAGCUGCAGAGGCACAUCUCCUGAAGGAAUUAGAAGGGAGCAAUGAAUUGGUUAAAAAUUUGAAGAUUAUGUAAAUCUGGAAAUAUGUUUCUUUAUUAUCAAACACAGAAAUAUAUUUCUGGAAAUAUAUUUCUGUAUCAUCAAACACAGAAAUAUAUUUCUGGAAACAUAAUUCUUAGUUAUCACACACACAUCAAAAUGAGAAUCAGAAAUAUUUUUCUCAUUCUUUUAUUCCAGGAAAUAUAUUUCCAGAAAUAUAUUUCCAAUUCUUAAAUCCCUAACCAUCAAACACUACCUGGAAUGUAUGUUGACAUAUAUGUAAUUUAUUAGGAACAAGUUAUAAGCUGAAAAUGUAUAUAAAUAAAUAUAUGUUGCAAGGGUUUAGAGUGAGCUGCUGUGGUGUUCGGGAGAUGUGCUGUAAUAGGCAGACCUGGAGGUUGAACCAGAUUCUUUUCAGAUUUUGUAUAGGAAUAUUUAGACCUAAGUGCUGCAUGUAGUUCUUGUAUGUCUGGCAUAUUUAUAUGUAUAUAAAGAUAUAUAAAUGCAUAUUCAUGAGAAAUAAAAUAUAUAUAGAUGCAUUCAACAAUAUGCAAAGUUAAGCACAUGUUUUUGAGCAAAGAAUGAUGUUAUUUGUACCAAUGUCAUGUUAAAACUUAUGCAAUGCAUAAUUUCAUGGCGCAUGCCUACUACCUUUUGGUAAAAUAUAAAUGUUCAUUGAUGCCAUGAAAGUGUGUAAAAUGUUCAUUGAUGCCAUGAAAGUGUGUAUGAGUUUUUUUUUUGAAUGUAAUAUAUGAAAAAGUGUGUGGUUAGUAUCUAAGUCACACGGGUGCUUUAAAAUGCACCCAGCACCCGUGUCAACACGACAUGGUGCAGCUCCAACACGCACCCAAGCCGCACCAUUUUUUUUCUUUUUUCUUUUCUUUUUUCUCACCCUUAUUUCUCCUUUUUCCUUGACCUCCUCUCAUUCUUUCUUUUUCAAACUUUUAGCUUUGCUCCUCUCUUUUUAAAAAAGUAGACCAUCAAAGGUGCAACAAUCAUCCUUUUUAAAGGACAACCAGUCUGCUGUCCUUUGAAAGGACGACUAGACUAUGUAUAUUUAAAAGAAAAACUUUAUUUUAUUUCCUCUUUGUUUCUUUCUUUUUCAAGCUUCCAACUUUUCUCUUUAAAAGGAAAGGCUACAAAGGAAUGACCAGUCUGCGGUCCUUCAACCACACUGCUUACCUUAAAAAAACUUUAUUUUAUUCAAUCGAAAAUUUUAAUAAUGAACUGCCCUUAGAAUGCUUGUCCUUUAAAAUGGAUGGUUAGAUUGCUUAUAUUCUAAAAGACCAUUAUUUUAUUCAAUUUAAAAUUUUUAAAAAUAAGUUACAUUUCUAUUUUCAUGCACCUAAUACUUACAUUCAAUUUAAAAUGCACCCAACUCUGUUUGGCAUUUGCUCAUAUUUGCAGUGCUCAUAUUUGCGGUGCGUUUUAUUGUUUUUUGGUUCUUUUUUGUGAUAUUCAGAAUUUAAUGAUUAUUUUCUGAAAUGAAGAAUUGUUUGAUUGAUGUUUUCAUGGUAUAAUAUACAUGCUUGAGUUUGACGGUUAAAGUGUUAAUGUUUUUCAGCUAGAUCAGUUUUUUGUUUUGCUGCAACUAUGGUUGUAUUGUUGUUUAAUGUUUACUUGCUUAGAAUGUUUUCAUGACUAAUUUCUGCUGGGUUUUGUCCAUAAUUUGAUCUGUUUUGCUACAAUGAUUGUUAGCAUUGAAUGUUUGAACUUGAAGUGUAUUGUAAACAUUUACUCAUUUACCAUUUAAUGAUUUAGAUUUUAGUAUUUUACUUAGCACCAAAUGUAGAUGUUGUAAAUUUGUAAUAUUUUUUUUGUUUAUAGACCAUUUUGUUAUGUGUGUGUGUGUGUAUACUAUAGUAAUAAUAAUACUAAAUUACCCUCAUUGUACUGCAACACCUAAAUUUUUUGGAAUGUGCCGCUCUGACACCGGCACCCGCACCCGCUCCCCGCACCUAUGUGACAUAGGUUAGUAUUACCAAGAUAUUUCCAUGAAGACGAGUAGUAAACUAGUUCAGAUUCAGUAGAUGAUAUGUGGAAGCAUGCUAAAGCACAUUUGAGCAAUCAGAAGGGUCUGAGAUGCUAAUCAAACAUAUUUCUAAAAUUAACACAUAUAGGUUGGAAAUGCAUCAUUCCUUCUUUAGAUAUGCUAAGUUAUUCAAAACUAAACAAACCAUCGUCAACUCUCAGUGAUGGAUCAAUAUAUAUAUAUAUAUAUAUAUAUAUAUAUAUAUAUAUAUGAGUAGAAGUUGGUCAUGGCUGAAGUACAAGUUAAAUAAGAGAAACAGAUUAGAUGAUAGAAGUCUCCUGGAUGUCAAGGGUGCAUACGAACUUUGUUUCUGAAAAUUUCAUGAGUAUGUGUGUACCGAUUUUCAUUUGGGUAGGUCGGGAUCUAGACCUGGACCCAGAAUCCAGCGCGUGAAGAGGGCCCGACGCCCGCUCUCCGGCGUCGUCUUCCUGUCGUCGGAUGCUGGUUCGUGCGGCGUAGUGUAAACCAGGGUGGCAGCGGCGACGGUGUUGCUCAUAGUUGGAUUUCAGCUAAGGAAGUCCAUCAUCAUCCUCCUACCAGCAAUUGGGUCGUGUUGUUGGCGACGGUAACAAGCAAUCAUUGGCAUUGGCACUUAGUCAAACACUUGGGUGUCUGCCGGAAACACUACGACAGUUCGAACUCUAAGAUUGUAGUACACCAGGCACGUCGAGUAGACCUUGAACGAUAAGAAUCGAAGCUCGAGGUGUUUUGGACGACACGUGAUAGGUUUUGGCAGACUCGAAGCAACAGGUUGAUCAGAUGACUCUACUCACAUCCUACUGGGGAGGUUUUGGGUCUAUUGUAGUGUCGGCGCGUGAUGUUUUGGUCUUAUUGAUGUCUUGUUUUUGUAAGACAUCAAUGUUGUGGUUUGAAGCAUUUUUGUCAUAAGUAUUAUUUGGAAAAUAUGAUAUGAUUUUGUAUGGACAAAAUUUAUCAUAUAAUGGAAAGUUGCCCCGCUGUCUUUGAGUUGUA